GCUGUGGUAGUGUAGUGGUUAGCAUUUCUGCCUAGCAAGCAAGAAGACCUAGGUUCGAGUCCCGGCCGCGGCA